AGUGAACGCUGGCGGUAGGCCUAACACAUGCAAGUCGAACGGCAGCACAGUAAGAGCUUGCUCUUACGGGUGGCGAGUGGCGGACGGGUGAGGAAUACAUCGGAAUCUACUUUUUCGUGGGGGAUAACGUAGGGAAACUUACGCUAAUACCGCAUACGACCUACGGGUGAAAGCAGGGGAUCUUCGGACCUUGCGCGAUUGAAUGAGCCGAUGUCGGAUUAGCUAGUUGGCGGGGUAAAGGCCCACCAAGGCGACGAUCCGUAGCUGGUCUGAGAGGAUGAACCGCCACACUGGAACUGAGACACGGGCCCGGCUCCUACGGGAGGCAGCAGGGGGGAAUAUUGGACAAUGGGCGCAAGCCUGAUCCAGCCAUACCGCGUGGGUGAAGAAGGCCUUCGGGUUGUAAAGCCCUUUUGUUGGGAAAGAAAAGCAGCAGGUUAAGACCCCGCUGUUCUGACGGUACCCAAAGAAUAAGCACCGGCGAACUUCGU
rnacentral:rRNA from 1 species